rnacentral:rRNA from 3 species
GGGUUGUGAGGUUAAGCGACUAAGCGUACACGGUGGAUGCCCUGGCAGUCAGAGGCGAUGAAGGGCGUGCUAAUCUGCGAUAAGCGCCGGUAAGGUGAUAUGAACCGUUAUAACCGGCGAUACCCGAAUGGGGAAACCCAGUGUGACUCGUCACACUAUCAUUAACUGAAUCCAUAGGUUAAUGAGGCGAACCGGGGGAACUGAAACAUCUAAGUACCCCGAGGAAAAGAAAUCAACCGAGAUUCCCCCAGUAGCGGCGAGCGAACGGGGAGGAGCCCAGAGCCUGAAUCAGCAUGUGUGUUAGUGGAAGCGUCUGGAAAGGCGCGCGAUACAGGGUGACAGCCCCGUACACAAAAGCGCAUGUGCUGUGAGCUCGAUGAGUAGGGCGGGACACGUGGUAUCCUGUCUGAAUAUGGGGGGACCAUCCUCCAAGGCUAAAUACUCCUGACUGACCGAUAGUGAACCAGUACCGUGAGGGAAAGGCGAAAAGAACCCCGGCGAGGGGAGUGAAAAAGAACCUGAAACCGUGUACGUACAAGCAGUGGGAGCCCCACCACCAAAGCAUUUGCUGUACCGCGUUGACGGAGCGAAGCGACGUCAAACCGAUAAAACAGCAGUGUAAAGUGAGCCGCAGGGCGCUUUGCGCGACAGCGCAAAGGCAGGCGGUUUCGCGUAGCGAAAGCGAAUGCUUUGGGGUGGGGUGACUGCGUACCUUUUGUAUAAUGGGUCAGCGACUUAUAUUCUGUAGCAAGGUUAACCGAAUAGGGGAGCCGGAGGGAAACCGAGUCUUAAUUGGGCGUUAAGUUGCAGGGUAUAGACCCGAAACCCGGUGAUCUAGCCAUGGGCAGGUUGAAGGUUGGGUAACACUAACUGGAGGACCGAACCGACUAAUGUUGAAAAAUUAGCGGAUGACCUGUGGCUGGGGGUGAAAGGCCAAUCAAACCGGGAGAUAGCUGGUUCUCCCCGAAAGCUAUUUAGGUAGCGCCUCGUGAAUUCAUCUCCGGGGGUAGAGCACUGUUUCGGCUAGGGGGCCAUCCCGGCUUACCAACCCGAUGCAAACUGCGAAUACCGGAGAAUGUUAUCACGGGAGACACACGGCGGGUGCUAACGUCCGUCGUGAAGAGGGAAACAACCCAGACCGCCAGCUAAGGUCCCAAAGUCAUGGUUAAGUGGGAAACGAUGUGGGAAGGCCCAGACAGCCAGGAUGUUGGCUUAGAAGCAGCCAUCAUUUAAAGAAAGCGUAAUAGCUCACUGGUCGAGUCGGCCUGCGCGGAAGAUGUAACGGGGCUAAACCAUGCACCGAAGCUGCGGCAGCGACACUGUGUGUUGUUGGGUA